GAUUAAAGCCCCUUCGGGGGUGUAUAAAGUGGCGAAAGGGCGAGGAAUACUUUUCCACGUACCCCGAGGUCGAGGAUAGCCCAGGGAAACCCGGAGUAAUACUCGAUGUGGUCCUUCGGGAUCAAAGGCUUCGGUCGCCUUGGGAGCGGGGAACGCCCUAUCAGGUUGUUGGUGAGGUAACGGCUCACCAAGCCGAUGACGGGUAGCGUGUGAGGGACCGCCGCAUCGGACUAGACACUGCCCGACUCCUACGGGAGGCUGCAGCAACGAAUCUUCCGCAAUGCGCGAAAGCGUGACGAGCAAUGCCGCGUGCAGGAUGAAGCCCUUCGGGGUGUAAACUGCUGUCAGGGUUCAGCAACAUAAUGAGCAGACCCAAAGGAAGGGCCGGCUAACUUCGUGCCAGCAGCCGCGGUAAUACGAAGGGCCCGAGCGUUGCGCGGAAUCAUUGGGCUUAAAGCGUACGUAGGCGGACGUGCAGGCAUCUUGUGAAAUCCCUCGGCUCACCGAGGAAUGCAGGGUGAACCGCACGUCUUGAGGCAAGUAGGGGCUGUCGGAACGAUAGGUGGAGCGGUGAAAUGCGUUGAUAUCUAUCGGAACGCCAAAGGUGAAGACAGGCAGCUGGGCUCGUUCUGACGCUGAGGUACGAAAGCGUGGGAGCGAACGGGAUAGAUACCCGGUAGUCACGCGUAACGAUGUGCACUAAUCGAGGGCGUUCUGACGCCAUUCUCGGUCGAAGCAAAAGUGUUAAGUGCACCGCCUGGGGAGUACGGUCGCAAGGCUAAAACUCAAAGGAAUUGACGGGGGCUCACACAAGCGGUGGAGCAUGUGGCUUAAUUCGAAGCAACGCGAAGAACCUUAUCCUGGGUUUGACAUGCACGGAUUAGCUUCCUGAAAGGGAAGUGACACCUUCGGGUGGAACGUGCACAGGUG
rnacentral:rRNA from 1 species